rnacentral:lncRNA from 10 species
UGCUUUGAGCCAUAUAUAUGUAUUUGAGCAAUAUGUAUAUAUAUUGCUCAAAGCAUAAAUUUAGUUUAGUUACUAGAUAAAAAGUGAAGUCUAGAUUUUUUUCAGUGGUUGGUUUCUUUCAUGUCAAGCAGGUAUAUCCAAUAUUUUGGCUUCCUUGGGCCACAGUGGAAGAAGAAUUGUCUUGGGCCACUUAUAAAAUACACUAACACUAAUGACAGCUGAUUAGCAAAGAAAAAAAAACAUAAUGUUUUAAGAAAGUUUACGAAUUUGUGUUGGAUGCCAUCCAAAGCUCUCCUGGGGUGCAUGUGGUCCACUGGCCGCAGGUUGGACAAGCUUGAUGUAAAGCAUUUUAUAGGAUGCCAUAAAUCUGUGAAAUAAUGAGCCUAAUUCCCCAAAGUGGACUGGAGAAUAUCUUGUAUACAGUGCCUAUUCAAGGUGUCAUGAAAGGCCUCAGAUUUAGAUUUGUGAUGUCAUUUUCACAUGAGAUUACAAUAGACAAGCUGUUAAGAUUGAAAAAAGUUGAUAUUCUUCAUAACACUUCAAAUGUGCAUGCCAUUACUAGAACAUACAACCCAACACAUUAUAAAUUAAUAUAUCUUAUUUAAUUUGUUGCUUGUUGAGUUGCCUGAUUAUGUUGUCUUGAAUUUGGAUGAUUAAAAGCAUUAUUAAAUGUGAAUAUUUACUAUAUACUUUAAUUUUUGUAACCAUGUAUUGACUUCUCUUAAUUUUUUUUUAAUGUUUAGGAUCUUCCCUCCUAACUCUCUCCAGUGACUUUGAAAAGGUCAUACAUACACAACAAUGGAGAACAGCUCUUUGCAGAUUUAUUUGAAGAGGAGAGGGCAAUGUGCCAUCAGAUCAUUGGCCCACAACACAACCAGACACAUGUGUCAUUGCUUUGGGGUCCCUUUGCUGUGUCUCCCUUGAGGCACCAUGGUCUUUCCGGGAAGUAACAUUGAAAUCUGACCAUGAGGGAAAAUGGACAGAUGAUGAAGAGAAGAUAAGAAAGCUUGAGUACAAACACUUCUGGCUCUUCCUUACAGGCAACCAUGAUGCUAACAGCGUAUCUGAGUGUCUAAAAAACAAGAUCUUCAACAAAAUGAUUCCCGGACUUAGCCUGCAGUGUCACAGUCCUGCCAUUUAAAUCUUCUGACCCCCAGCAAAGCUGUGGAGAAAAACUGACUUCAAGCAAGGUCAUCACAGAAUAUUUGAUUUUUCCCUUACCCGAAAGUCAUCAGAUUAAGGGACAUGUUGCUUCCUACUGCUACAGGAGUCUAAUCAGUGACUGAUGUAAGUAUAAACUGGCCUAACUCUAAUUUUUAGUCUUUCUGGUAAGGUUUUCAGAGCAGCACAUCAUGUGUUUACUAAAUUCAUUUGAUCUGUUUCAAAGUUUGUCACAAAUCGUGGACUUUGACCUAAAUGGAGUCAGACACACACUCCCUUUUUCUCUCUGUCAAACCUGUUAUAACUACAUUUGCAAUUUUUUUACUCUCAGCUAUUACUUAAAACUCAUUUACUUUCUCCAUGCACUCUGUUUGGGUGUUUAUUUUAUUUUAUUUUAUUUUAUUUUAUUUUAUUUUAUUUUAUUUUUUAGAUGGAGUUUCACUCCUGUUGCCCAGGCUGAGGUGCAAUGGUGAAUCUCAGCUCAUGGCAACCUCUGCUUCCCAAGUUCAAGCGAUCCUCCUGCCUCAGCCUCCCAAGUGGCUGGGACUACAGGCGUGUGCCACCACACCCGGCUAAUUUUGUAUUUUUAGUAGAGACGGGGUUUCUCCAUGUUGGUCAGGCUGGUCUCGAACUCCUGACCUCAGGUGACCCACCCGCCUUGGCUUCCCAAAGUACUGGGAUUACAGGUGUGAGCCACUGCACUUGGCCCUAUUUUGUUUUUUAAAUAAAUUUGGUCUAAUACAAAUGUAUCUUAAGACCUGGAGGUUUUUUUUCAAUUUACCUGGACCACUUGGUGUUAUAUGCUAUGAAAUCUAAAAUGAUUUUCAUUUAGUUUAUCUUUGUUCUUUGAGUGUCUGGCUGUAUGAAACUACAUUCGGUUUAGAUCAGUGGUUCUCAAUCAGGGAUAAUUUGUGCCACCCUGGGACAUUUGGCAAUGUUUGACACAUAUUUAAUUAUCACAACUGGAGGGUGUUGCCACUGGCAUUUAGUGCGUAGAGACCAAGGGUGCUGCCAAACACCCUACAACACACAGGGCAGCAAUGCCUCCUCCUCACCACCGCCAAAUAAUUAUCAGUUCAAAAUGCAAAUAAUGUACAGGUAAAAAGUCCUUAGUUCGCGUGGAUUCCACUCUCUCUCAAAGAGAAAGCUGAACAACUAAAAAAGCAAAGUGUAGGAUUUAGCAAUGUGAACACUCCUGAUUUCUUAAUUCGUUUAUGAGACCAAUGCUGGUUUUGCUGCAAGUAGCAACCUCCCUUUUAAAAAUGGAAAUCCUCACACCAAUAAUCCCAGCAUUUUGGGGAGCUGAGGUAGGAGGAUCCCUUGAGCCCAGGAGUUUGAUACCAGCCUGAGCAACAUAGUGAGACCCUAUCUCUACAAAAUUAAAAAAAAAUAAUAAAAAGACCAGGUGCAGUGGCUCACAUCUAUCAUCACAGCACUUUGGGAGGCGAGGCUGGAGGAUCACUUGAGCCCAGGUGGUCAAGGCUGCAGUGAGCCUGGAUCGCACCACUGCAGUCCAGGCUGGAUGUCAGAGUGAGACCCUGCCUCCAAAAAAAAAAAAAAAAAGAAAGAAAGCCUUUCUCUUAUUAAACAAAAGGAAAAAUUGAUGGGUACUUGUAGAAAAAGUCAUAGAGCCACAGAUUACAGAACUUUUGAAUUUUAAGCUUGCUACUACUUCUAAAUAGUUUAGCAUCUACAUUGAUUUUAUCAUUAGUGCAUUGCCAUUCUUGUGUCAGUAGUAAGCUACAGUAUUUUUGUAUUUACAAAUACAAGAAUUUUGAAUAAUUGAUUAAAGCGGAAUGAGAAUGAAAAAGAAGAAUUAUAAACUCUUUAAAACUCCUCUAAUCCAUCACCACAACCACCAUGACCAUCAUUUUAUAGAUAGAGAGCAGAGGUGAGGUGUCCAGUUAAACUCAACUGCUUGCCCUGGGGAUGAGCCAUUCAUGUCUCUCCUUGACCUCUCUGCUUCUCUCCCUUCCCCACUAAUUUAUCUCUUCUUGCCUUUAUACCCUUAUCAUUUCUCCUUUACACCACCUCAGUUGUCCUUCCCAUUUCUUUCCUAUCUCCUGUUUUUCCCCUUUGUCAAGUUUCUGAACAAAGCUCAGCUCUCUUUCCUUCUACAUUUCUUACUCUAAAUACCACACAUCUUUUGCCCAUGUGCAGAUAUCUGGAUUUAUGUACCACGAAAGAGGACUUUGUUUGUAUACAGUAGCACACACCUAUAAUCACUCAGAAAUAAAAAUCACUUUCAUCUAGAUCUAGUCUUGAAAAUUGUCUGUUUUCUCUCUUGCAUCAAGUAGACCACAUGGUCUUACACAGAGGAACAAAAACAAUGGAACCUACCAUUAAAACAACCUUGUACUACUGUUUAGAAAAAUGCUGGAGCGGGGUGAGUGCUUCUCACUGUGUCCCCCUCAUUCUAAGACCCAUGCCAGGAAAAAUAAAGUUUUAGGUUAAAAGGAAAUUAGUUGCUCAUUUGUUAUCUGUCAGUAGCAAUAAAGAGGAAGUUUGCAGAGCAUCAGGCAUCUAAUGAUAACAAUCAGUUGAAUGGUCUACAAAAUAAUUGACUUCCAUUUAUUUGGCUGUCUGAUUUCUUCUUUAUCACUUGUCCUAGCUAAGUUCUAUCCAGUUUAUUUUGUUUAUGCACUAUCCUGUAUGCAUAUUUAGGAUUAUGGAAAAUAAAACACUAGCCAAAAGAUCAAUAAUCAAUUUCAAUUAUGCUAUAUUACAUGUCACAUGUUACGUUUGCAUCGAGUCCUGUAUUUGGAUACACUACACUUUAUAUUCUUCAUUGCUAUACAGCAUGCUGUUCACAAUGACAAAGAACCAUCUGAUCUGCCAUGUUCUGAAUAUUAAUAUCAACUAUACUGGAUUUUGUUUGGGUCAUGAAGAUUUAAUAAUUUAACUACAGGUCAUUGGAGUUCUGUUGUGUCAUCAAAUAAUUAUAGAAUUUAUGUUUUAUCAGCAGCAAAAAUAUCCUAGUAUUCUAAAUUCCACUUAUUGUUCUUUAGCUUAAUGCUUAGUGUUACCCCUUCUCAACAUGUUUUCCCAUCAUGAAAAUUAACCCACUCUAUAUCUUUCUGGAAAGAAAAUAAACUGCUCCCUUGCCAAGCCUUUCAUUAUGCUGCUUCUUUCCUUCAUGAAUUGUGAUCUAACAGUAGCCCAGCAAAAAGCCCAAGCCUUUGAAGUGUUGUGCUAAUUUGAUUAAUACAUAGUUACAUCCUGUUAUGAUGCACUUUGCCUUAUGCAUUUUAAAUGGAAAAUGCAGAGUGGAUUACAUUUGUGUUAAAAACACAGCAUACUAAAUGAACAGCACUGAAAGCAGUCUAUAAUAACAAGCUCUGCAACCACUUUAAACAUGCAGAAGGUUAUUGUUUGUAGGUUAAUGAUAAUUAUAUGAAAAUAUAUGUUUUUGCAACAAUUAACAUGUCAAUAAAAAUACUGGUGAGGUUAAUACAGCUAUACUUAAAAAAUAUUUAUUCCACCAGUAAUUUAAAAAUAAUUCCAUAAAUAUUCUAAUAUAAUUGUCUAAGUUAUAUGUGCAUAUAUCUACACAUGUAUAGAAGUAAUUCAUACAUUCUUUGGAAAAAAGUACCUAAGUCAACCCUAAGAUAUUAUAGAAUCAAGGGUAAGAGGGUACUUUCCUAGAAAGAGGUACACGUUUUCAUGCUUAUUACUGAAAAGAAACAAGCAAAUUGCCAGGAUUACUUGAAAUAACAGGGUUCAUUUUGUGUGUAUCUUAUUAAGAUUCAGGGUCUCAGGGUAGGUUGGUGAAAAGAAGAGAAUGCAUCCUAUAACAAGAUUUGUCCAAAGUUCUUCAUAUUGUCUCAACCUAAAUUUCGCCUCUGGAGACAUUAUAAAGUAUUAUGAUACUGCAUUCUUAAUAUACACCUCAAGUGGAUGCUAAUGAUCUUAAAGAUCAUAAAAAUAUAUCUUUGUAAUAUGGUAAAAAGUUAAUGAAUAUAUUACAUCCCCAUUUUUGGAGACACAUGCUCAACUAUUUUUCCAUUUGGAACAUACAUUUUUACAGUUACAAAAUGUCUUUCCCUUCCAUUUAGCUUUUUUCAAUGACUAAUGGCGGUUUACAAUAGUUUACAAUAGCUUAAAAUGGCUUAAUCUCUUUAAGUACUUCCAUUCGGACUUUUUUCUGUUCACACAACAAUCAUACUGAAUCCUACACCCAAAUCUAUUGAAUGAACCCUUUGGCAGUUGGUUAAAAUUCAUGAUUGUGCUCUCUAUUGGAUCAGAAACUCCUAAGUAGCCAAAGAAAAGGAGAAAACACUUUCAUGAUAGCUCACCCAAUUCAAUUUGCUGUCUAGUAACCAUGGUAUAACCACUUGUAUUUAUCACCUAGAAUUAGGUCAGAAAAGAGAAAAUCAGCAUCUACCCUUUUCUUUCCUUUAUUUUUUUCUUUUUUCUUUUUUUUUUCUUUUCUUUUUUUUUUUGAGAUGGAGUCUUUCUCUGUCGCCCAGGCUGGGGUGCACUGGCGUGAUCUUGGCUUACUGCAACCUCCACCUCCUGGGUUCAAGCAAUUCCCCUUUCUCAGCCUCCCGAGUAGCUGGGAUUACAGGUGCCCUCCACCAGGCCUGGCUAAUUUUUGUAUUUUUAGUCGAGAUGGGGUUUCCCAUCUUGGCCAGGCUGGUCUCCAUCUCCUAACCUCAUGAUCCACCUGCAUCGGCCUCCAAGUGUUGGGAUUCACAGGCGUGAGCCACCGCGCCCUGCCCAUCUUUUUCUUAAAUAUGAAAACCAUUGCUGUUACUUAGACCUAAAAUAGAACUAGAAGAAAACUUUGUAUCAGUACACUUUCACCUUAUUUGUAUAGUCUACAAAGUCAUGUACAAAAGGAUCUAUGAAGUAAUAAGCUUUUCAAUUUUUAUAAAACCUGAAGCAGAAUCUUCUCUCCAUAUUCAAAUGUAGGAUCCCUGAGAUUAAAAUGAAAUACCAGCCUAGUGUGGUGAAGUUUAUAGGGGGUCAUUAAGUUUCUAUGCCCAUUUAUUUUAUUAAAAUCAGUUCUCUUGAUAGUACAGUAGGGUGACUAUGGUCAAUAAUAAUUUAAUUGUACAUUCAAAAAUAACUAAAAGAGUAUAAUUGGAUUGUUUAUAAUACAAAGGAUAAAUGCUUGAGGGAAUGAAUUACCCUUUCUAUGAUGUGAUUAUUAUACAUUGCAUGCUUGUGUCAAAAUAUCUCAUGUGCCCCAUAAAUAUACAUACCUACUAUAAGCGCACAAACGUUAAAAAUUUAAAAAAUAAACAUAAAUGUAAAAUCAGUUCUGUAGCUUUGGGGAAAUACUUAAUUUUUGUGGAUCUCAGACUCAUCAUUUUGAUAGUUAUCCAUUAAAAUGUGUUUUAUAAUGCUCUUCAAAUAAUUUUGACUACUCAUAAUAAAGAGAUAUUUUACAUGAUGAUCCAGUACUCACAAACAUGCACACACCUCCUGCACAUAUACACAGGCAGACAACUAAAGCAAGAUUUUUCAUGAACCAGUACUUACCCUUACAACUUGUAAUGAAUAUUGAUAUUUUGUAUCUUUUUUAAAAAUUCUAGUUACAACUCAUUAGGUUUUGCUCUUGAUGUUUGAAAAAAAAAAAAGGGCCAAGAUGUCUAAAGCAUGGUCCAUCUCUACCCUCCUCUCAAUGGGUUAUGUGAAUAUGUUGUUUCACCUGGACUCUGAUAGUACAUUUGCUCACUUUUGCCAUUAAUGCUAUUAUACACUAUCAAUUCUUUUUUGGUUUGUGAGGUGUUUUCUUUUUUUUUCAUUUAGAAUUGAUUUGUUUUGGCAUCAUAACUUCUAAGUGAAGACUGAUAAUAAUUGGUCUCUGUUCAUAUUGUGUCAUUUCUUUACAAAACAUUGGUAGAUUAUAUUGUGCUUUUAAAUAGUUCUUUUUAAAUGUCAAAGGAAAAGCUGUUAUAGAUAUUGAAAGAUGUUGAUAUCAUGAAAAAAAAUUAUGCUUGAUGCACAGCUAAAUAAAUGACCUACCUGUGAUAUUCUAAGAAUUUAAUAUUUGGCAACCACAGAUUAAUAUGAGUCUAAUUUCAUCAUCACAUUCUUCCCUCAAGAAAGACUAAAUAUACCAUAUUUGUUGCGAGUGUUGACAAUUCAUCUUUCCUAAGUAGUGAAAUUUGACACAAGGUUAGCCUGAUGCUUGGCCCACUGAAGCCCAAGAAAGAACAUAGCUAAUACUCAGUAAUGUAGAAAGAGAAAAGAUAGCUAAUACUCUCAGUAAUGUAGAAAGAGUAAAGAAAACAUGAGACAAUUUUGAAGGCUGAUUUGGAAGUGACAAUAUGUUAAAAACAAACUGAAUACAGAUGUGGAGCAUUCAGUCUGUCCAGUUCAUAAAAGCACAACUUCCAUAGUGUGAUACAGUCUUAACAUUGACCUACCUCUUUUGUUUGGAGAUACUGGGCUA